CACUGACGUUGAGGCUCGAAGGUGCGGGUAUCAAACAGGAUUAGAUACCCUGGUAGUCCGCACGGUAAACGAUGGACACCCGCUGUCGGCGAUAUACAGUCGGCGGCCAAGCGAAAGCGUUAAGUGUCCCACCUGGGGAGUACGCCGGCAACGGUGAAACUCAAAGGAAUUGACGGGGGCCCGCACAAGCGGAGGAACAUGUGGUUUAAUUCGAUGAUACGCGAGGAACCUUACCCGGGCUUGAACUGCGCCUGAAUGUGCCGGAAACGGUACAGCCGCAAGGCAGGCGCGGAGGUGCUGCAUGGUUGUCGUCAGCUCGUGCCGUGAGGUGUCGGCUUAAGUGCCAUAACGAGCGCAACCCCUUCCGGCAGUUGCCAUCAGGUGAUGCUGGGUACUCUGCCGGUACUGCCAUCGUAAGAUGCGAGGAAGGUGGGGAUGACGUCAAAUCAGCACGGCCCUUACGUCCGGGGCUACACACGUGUUACAAUGGGGGGUACAGAGGGC
rnacentral:rRNA from 1 species